rnacentral:rRNA from 1 species
UACGUAGGGUGCGAGCGUUAAUCGGAAUUACUGGGCGUAAAGCGUGCGCAGGCGGUUGGCAAAGUCAGCUGUGAAAGCCCCGGGCUCAACCUGGGAAUUGCGGUUGAAACUAGCCGACUAGAAUCUGGCAGAGGGGGGUGGAAUUCCACGUGUAGCAGUGAAAUGCGUAGAGAUGUGGAGGAACACCGAUGGCGAAGGCAGCCCCCUGGGCCUGCACUGACGCUCAUGCACGAAAGCGUGGGGAGCAAACAGG